CAGCCACGGUAAUACGUAGGGUGCAAGCGUUAAUCGGAAUUACUGGGCGUAAAGCGUGCGCAGGCGGUUUUGUAAGACAGAGGUGAAAUCCCCGGGCUCAACCUGGGAACUGCCUUUGUGACUGCAAGGCUGGAGUGCGGCAGAGGGGGAUGGAAUUCCGCGUGUAGCAGUGAAAUGCGUAGAUAUGCGGAGGAACACCGAUGGCGAAGGCAAUCCCCUGGGCCUGCACUGACGCUCAUGCACGAAAGCGUGGGGAGCAAACAGGAUUAGAUACCCGCGUAGUCCCUGUCUCUUAUACACA
rnacentral:rRNA from 1 species